AUUGAACGCUGGCGGCAGGCCUAACACAUGCAAGUCGAGCGGAUGAAGGGAGCUUGCUCCUGGAUUCAGCGGCGGACGGGUGAGUAAUGCCUAGGAAUCUGCCUGGUAGUGGGGGAUAACGUCCGGAAACGGGCGCUAAUACCGCAUACGUCCUGAGGGAGAAAGUGGGGGAUCUUCGGACCUCACGCUAUCAGAUGAGCCUAGGUCGGAUUAGCUAGUUGGUGGGGUAAAGGCCUACCAAGGCGACGAUCCGUAACUGGUCUGAGAGGAUGAUCAGUCACACUGGAACUGAGACACGGUCCAGACUCCUACGGGAGGCAGCAGUGGGGAAUAUUGGACAAUGGGCGAAAGCCUGAUCCAGCCAUGCCGCGUGUGUGAAGAAGGUCUUCGGAUUGUAAAGCACUUUAGGUUGGGAGGAAGAGCAGUAAGUUAAUACCUUGCUGUUUUGACGUUACCCACAGAAUAAGCACCGGCUAACUUCGUG
rnacentral:rRNA from 1 species